rnacentral:misc_RNA from 1 species
CUGCGCUCUCCCUCUCGAGAGCACUUGGACGAAAAGCGAGCAGUACCAGCGACAACCACAAGCGACGGCAAGCGCGUCCAAGCAUACGUGGUGCUACCGACGAGACAUCUUUCCAGCCCCAUUCGCAGCACACAAUGGAGGAGUGGGUCAUGGCUUCCCUUAAGGACAAGUACAUCGACAGGGUGGACGCGUCUAGCGUGCAGUCCGGCGUCUUCUGCGAAGCGUUCACCUCCCCAUGGUACGAUGGCGGCGUGGUCUUUGACUGGACCGCUCUGCAUCAGAGGCUGACACGGCCGACCGUGGCCCUGCCAGACGUGACCAAGGCCGUCACUGCACUUCGGCGCUUCGGUGCAGAGGCGCUGAUGGCCGCGUCUGGCGAGGGCGACAAGAAGUGCUUUUCGACCGUCGUGGAGUUGAGGGAGCCGUGGACUCUCCACCCACUUUCUGAGCAGGCGCAGCGCCUCAGCGUUUUCGAUGUCCUCUCCGUUACCGCGUCCUCCGCGCCAACAGAGGCGGCUGCCAGCAGCUCUCCCGCCCCGUCCUCAAGCGACUCUCGACAGCUCUACACCUUUCUGCGUGGUCCGCCCGGGCAGCGCACGGUGCGGGAAGACAUGGCGCGCGUGCUCUCGAGUGCCGAGGAGCAGUUCCGGAGGAGCGGCGUGCGCGUGGUGUCUUUCCUGAGCUCUUUUAUCUUGUUUGGAAGCGACUUCACGGACAUGCUCCACAGCACGGCCGCGGUCUUUCGGGCCCUGACCGAGGCAGGCUUCUGCAUCGACAGCCACGGCUCCUGCCUCGGACCUCGCGUUGUGACGCCGCUGCGCGUGGAUGCUGACGAUUGGUGGACCACCUCACCACUGCAGCAGAUUGAAUCCGAGGAGGACGUGGCUGCCCUUCUCGUCGCUCUCUUCUAUCAAUGGCUGCAGGACGCGUACGUGUGGGGCUGCACGGCUCCCAUACGACUCUUCCCCGACGCCAAAGAAACGCACGCCACGCAGUCGACGCGCCUAUUGGAGCGAUUUGUGCGCGGGCUUGUGCUACCUCGAGCCCGUGCGAUUGGACUGGACGCACUGUACGCGUCUCUCCCUGAGGAGGGUGGCAGCCUACUAGAGUUAGCCGCUGUCGGAUUAGAGAAGAAGCAGGCUCCGACGGGACUGCAGCGGUGGAGUGUGUUGGAGCUGCGGGUUGUACUCGCCCAGCUCGGUGCCUACGAGCACAUCCCCUGCGAGUACCUUGGACAGCCACAGAACAACACCAGGCGUUAGCGCUGCCGCUUUCGCAGGCCCUGCCCCUUCCUGCAGCGCCAACUCAUCGAUCUCUCGCGUCGUCUCCUUUUAAUAAGCAACGCAAGCGGGCAAGGGCUCGGCGACCCUCGCUUGCAGCGUUGCUAUCGCCUUACACGCAUGGAGCUGUGCUGCAUGGUGUGGCAGACUUCCUUGCGGUUAGGUACCUUCUCCGCGGCAAGGACGACAGUGGGUGCUAUGUCUUGCGGCCACGCGCUCCAGUGCCGCUGCUGCCUGUGCGGCAGCAUGGGCGGGGGGUCUCGCUGGCGUACGAGUGUGCACGUGCGCGUGUGCUCACCCGUCUCUCCUCGACGGCAUGGUCGAAGGGGAGAGCGGCGACAGACACACCCACACACGCACAAAAAAGCGGAAGACAAGCAGAAUAGCGAUGACGUGUGAGCGAGGGCGCGUCGCAGUGCGAGAUCGAGUCCUGCUCCACCCGUCGAAGCGACCGCUUCACGCCCACUGGGCGGGGAUGAUUUUGUGUGUCUAGCUUUUCAAGUUCGCACGCGUUUUCCUUGCUGCGGCUUCCCCUACGGUCCUACGAGUGAGCUUGCGUGGUGGUCCUGCUCGCCUGUCUUCGCCUCAGAGGGCUUUUCUGUGCAGGGAGCGCAGCCGUCGUCUCUUGUUCCGCCCCACUCGACCUCGGUCUGACACGCCACUUGAUCCCUCUCUUCCCUAACUCGUCCACUUGGGCCCCAAG